rnacentral:tRNA from 1 species
AAAAUCCGUCGAUUUUUGAAAUCAUGAGGGUUCAAGUCCCUCUAUCCCCAACAAAAAGCCCAUUUGAUUU